CUGCAAGUGUAAUUAUUGCAGUUUUUAUAAACUGCAAUAAUACCCUUGCAGGGUUAAGUCCUCCUCUAGUGGCUAUCUAUCAGACAGCCACUAGAGGGACUUCUGGGUUCUUAAACAACUUUUUG